AACGAACGCUGGCGGCGUGCUUAACACAUGCAAGUCGAACGCGAAAGGGACUUCGGUCCUGAGUAGAGUGGCGCACGGGUGAGUAACGCGUAGAUAAUCUGUCCUUGUGUCUGGAAUAAUACGCCGAAAGGUGUACUAAUACCGGAUAUUCUUGCUUUUCUUAAGAUGAGCAAGCAAAGGUGGCCUCUGACAUAAGCUACUGCAUAAGGAGGAGUCUGCGUACCAUUAGCUAGUAGGCGGGGGAAUGGCCCACCUAGGCGACGAUGGUUAACGGGGCUGGGAGGAUGAUCCGUCACACUGGCACUGGAACACGGGCCAGACUCCUACGGGAGGCAGCAGUGAGGAAUAUUGCGCAAUGGGGGAAACCCUGACGCAGCGACGCCGCGUGAGUGAGGAAGGCCUUCGGGUCGUAAAGCUCUGUCAAAGGGAAAGAAGUGCAUAAUGGCUAAUACCUAUUAUGUUUGACGGUACCCUUAAAGGAAGCACCGGCUAACUCCGUGCCAGCAGCCGCGGUAAAAC
rnacentral:rRNA from 1 species